rnacentral:lncRNA from 1 species
GGAGAGAGAAGGCCCCGCCGUGCGUCCGCGACAGCGCUUGGCGCGGCUCCGGGCGCGCGUGAAGCCUUCGUGGGGCGGGCGCGCCGGUCCCCGCGCGGUGCGGCUGGCGGCCCUCCUCCUCCAGGAGCGCGCCUCGGUUUCCCGCGUUUGUCGGUGGCGGGUAAGGAGCGCAGGCCCGCGUGCGGCAUUCCCGUCCGAGCGGGGGUUCCUCCCGGCCGCGGGCCCGGAGACGCCGUCGAACGCGGGCGCUUAGCCUGCUGCCAGGUUUGCUUCGCGGUGGCCGCUGGUUACGCCGCGUCCGCGGGAGGGACGUUUCCCCGCAUCUUCACCAGCCCUGAGUGUCCGGUUUCGGCCGGUCCGAGGGGCGAAGAGCCGUAUCCUGGUUUCUGUUUCCAAGUCAGUGACAGGUCAUUUGCCUGCGGUUGCUGCCAGUCAAUACCUGUGACAAGGAUUUGUGCCAGAUGUAUUCUCCCAGGCGGGCCCCGCGGUCCAGCCCUAGAACACCGCGGCCCUCCCCAGGCCGGUACCUGGGCUCCUCCCGACCCCUCCAGCUGCUGCAAAUCCGGUUGCUCACGAGGCCAAAUGUCCAUAUUCAUCAGUCACCGGAACGGAUUAACUCCGACUGAAAUGCCCUCGCCCCAUUCGUCCACUGGGCUGGUGGUCUUUUUCCUUGUGAUUUGGUGGACUUUCUUUUCAGCCUGGAUACGGAUUACUGGCCAGUUACGUAUGUUGCGAAUGUCUUGCCUUUACCUGCUCACAGACUGACCUGUGCCCCGCGCUAACACUCGCGUGCUCAGGCCUGUUUGCCUUUUCCUUUGUGAUGUGUGCUCUGUCCUGCCCUCUGCCCCAGGACCCUCAUGGUGCUGUCUUUUCUCAGAGAGCCCUAACGUGUUCACUCAACCACCUGGAAUUUAUUUCUGAAUAUGAUGAGGUGUUGGGGUCUGAUUCUUUCCCAUAUGAUGAGCCCGUAUCCCCAUAAAGAGUUAAACAGGGACGCCUGGGUGGCUCAGUUGGUUGGGCAGCCGCCUUCGGC